rnacentral:lncRNA from 1 species
ACAAGAGCCCUUGAAACCUUUACAGAAGAAGGUUGAACUUACUGGUUUGUGAAAGCUUGAGAGCUACAAUGAUGUAUGCACUACAUCCUGUUCGAAAAUAAUGCUUACCUCUCACAAGGAUAAUGUUGUGUUGGAAGUGGAACUUCUUGUUAUAAAUUCCUAUAGAUAUUUGAUUAUCCUGUAAGCAUGUCUCCAGUCAUAGAUACAAAAUGGUGAUGCUGACUUAAUCUUGCUGACUGUAUUGUUGUUC